AACCCGUUUUGAAGCCUUCUUUUUCUCCUCACACAUGGCACAUAGAGUCAUAGACUUCCAUAAAACCCCAAUUUAGUGUUUCAUCCAAAGUUCUAAACUCUUAUGUGUUUAUCUCUUAAUUAUGAGUAAGUUUGGGAUUGAUUUUGAAACUGCUUUUGGGAUUCGGCUUUUGGGCUUAAGGGAUGGUGUUUGGUAAAGUUCUCUAGAAGUUGCUUUUGGGCCAAAUAGCUUCUCGGGGAAGUUGAUACUGAGAAGCAACAAAUCGUAGCUUUUGGAGCUGCUUCUCUGAAAAACACGGAGCAACAGUGCAAGAUUAAUGAAUUAUUCCCCCUUCCUUUUCUGAAAAGUACAUCGAGCAUAUGGGGUUUGAUUGAUAGAAUUGUCGUCAAAAACAGAUCGCAUAUCUCCUUCUUCCCUCUCCAUGAUCAUUGAAUCAAUCUCCUCAUCAUAAAGAAAAUCCUUUAGAGACGGGUAAGUGGUAAACCCUCUUUCUCAGACUAUCCAUCUCGCUCUUCUCAAGGUUUUCUCUCUCUGUGUCUCCGACUUCUUCAAAGCACAUAGAGACGGAUCAAUCCAGAGUAUCGCAAGUUUCGCGACGUCAGAGUUCCUGACAUGAUGGUUGUUUAUGAUAACUUGUUCAAGGGUAGCAUAGCUCUAGGUCACAAUGUCAUGUUAAGAAAUACAAUCGUACACAUUUUAAUGAAUGCAUCUACUUAGCAUUUAGUUGCAAAAUUCAAGUAACUUUAAUAUAUUUUGUGUAAUAAUUCCCGUUGAACUAUGGUCAGGAAAUUAAUCCAAAUAUUCUUGACUUA